rnacentral:tRNA from 1 species
GCCGAGUUGCCCCUUGUUCCCAGU